GAUGAACGCUGGCGGUAUGCUUAACACAUGCAAGUCGAACGGACUCUUCGGAGUUAGUGGCGGACGGGUGAGUAACGCGUGAGAAUCUGGCUUUGGGUUCGGGACAACCACUGGAAACGGUGGCUAAUACCGGAUGUGCCGAGAGGUAAAAGAGAAAUUGCCUGAAGAUGAGCUCGCGUCUGAUUAGCUAGUUGGUGAGGUAAAGGCUCACCAAGGCAGCGAUCAGUAGCUGGUCUGAGAGGAUGACCAGCCACACUGGGACUGAGACACGGCCCAGACUCCUACGGGAGGCAGCAGUGGGGAAUUUUCCGCAAUGGGCGAAAGCCUGACGGAGCAGUACCGCGUGAGGGAAGAAGGCUCUUGGGUUGUAAACCUCUUUUCUUAGGGAAGAACAAAAUGACGGUACCUAAGGAAUCAGCAUCGGCUAACCCCGUG
rnacentral:rRNA from 1 species